AUUGAACGCUGGCGGCAUGCUUUACACAUGCAAGUCGAGCGGCAGCGGGGACUUCGGUCCGCCGGCGAGUGGCGAACGGGUGAGUAAUGCAUCGGAACGUGCCUAUCAGUGGGGGAUAACGCUUCGAAAGGAGUGCUAAUACCGCAUAUUCUCUGAGGAGGAAAGCAGGGGACCUUCGGGCCUUGCGCUGAUAGAGCGGCCGAUGUCGGAUUGGCUAGUUGGUGAGGUAAAGGCUUACCAAGGCGACGAUCCGUAGCGGGUCUGAGAGGAUGAUCCGCCACACUGGGACUGAGACACGGCCCAGACUCCUACGGGAGGCAGCAGUGGGGAAUUUUGGACAAUGGGCGAAAGCCUGAUCCAGCCAUGCUGCGUGAGUGAAGAAGGCCUUCGGGUUGUAAAGCUCUUUUGUCCGGGAGGAAAUCCUGGCCUCUAAUACAGGUCGGGGAUGACAGUACUGGAAGAAUAAGCACCGGCUAACUACGUGCCAGCAGCCGCCGUAA
rnacentral:rRNA from 1 species